UUGAAUUAUAUUUGAAUUCGGCCUAAUUGAUGAUUAAAAGUAAAAACCCAUCUAGAAUAGAAUGGUAGUGGGAUUAAGGAAGAAAGCUCCAGUCAUUCCGGAUCGCAAACAAACAACGGUAAAGGUAAGGCAACUUGAUCGAUGGCACUACUUGGAUCGAACACACUCAUGAUGCACGCUUCCGCGAAGAUCCUAGUUAUGGUUUAAACUUUUGGUUAAAUGUUUUUGUUAAAACGGGUCUUUUGUAUGUAAGUUAAUCCGGUAGUGGUUAGAUGUUAAACUUGUAGUUAAAGACUUGGUUAAUAUUUAUGAAAUAUUUGGGGUAUAAACUCUU
rnacentral:lncRNA from 1 species